GUUACUUUAAAUUUUUUAUUUGAAAUAUCAGAACUAUAAACAUGUAAUCGACGAAAAGAAAAAGAAGAAUGAAUAAGAAGAAACAUCUUUGAAACUACAUUCGUCGCGGCAUAACGGCGCCCAUAGGGCGCCGUCGCAUACUCCCUACUAGUUACGAUGACAAUACAGGUAAGCUCAAAUAGUUGUCUUUGUUUAACAACCGAACUGCUACACGAUCAGCUCUCCAAUGAGCUGUCAGUUCUUUAGAGAACCGACCGUAGAAUGACGGAAAAAGCCGAAGCUGACCAGCCUGCGCUUUGCGACCGACGCGUCUCGCCCUACGUCACAGUGAAGUAUGUGCUCUCGGAUGUAGAAAAUGGCUGCGCUCUUUGCUACCCCAGGUCGGUGUGGAUGUAAAUACGGCCUGUGGAUCAGCUUAGGAGUGUUUAUCGCGAAAUUUAUUUAUGUUACAGUGUGUGCAAUGUACCAAAGGAUCGAUCUGAUGCGGAUUCUCGACGUGAAAACGAUUAACGUAUGCUAUUGUUAACCAUUCCUCGCCUUUUACUAUACAAAUAUGUAUACAAUUUUAUACUCUUUUCUGCCUGUCCUUUUUCCCUGGAUCUCCCGCCCUUCUCUCUCCUCUGUCUCCUUCCUCCCUUCCUUCUCCCCACUAAUCUUACACAUUCACUCACUCACUCUUGAUUUGAUUAAUGUAUUUCAGCACUAGUUUUUCUUCUAACAUAUUGACAACAAACACAUGAGUUGCUUUUGAAUGUUUUGCAAAAGGUCAUAUUAUGAUUUCAAUCUAAUCUUGCUUUUAGAAAAUUUUCUUAAAUGAAAAUGAAAUAAAUUAUGAUUUAGUGCUUUUGCGAUAUAUAUUAUAAUUUUUUUCAAAUGUAUCUAUGUGUAUGUUCCACAUAUAUAGUUCAUUUAUAAUAUAAAUUUAAAUUUUCGUAAACAAUUCAAACUUUCUAUGUACAAAUACAGCUGUAAUUCACUAUGCAAUAAGUAUAUUUUUAUAAAAGAAAUCUCUUAUACAAAGAGAAUAGCGUAUUAUAUCCUUGACUCAAAGAGAGAAUAGGCUGAAAAGGAAUGAGAAAUAAGAAAAAAAAGGUUAGGCGUUAAGGUUAAGAACUGAAAUAUCAAUGAUGUUUCAUCGCUUUUGUAACUCUGAAGUUCUCUUUGCAAUGCCUUGAUCUUUUUUUGCUUUAUUUUUCUCCUUUUACAUUACUCGUCCUAUAUUUGAAUAGUUUAACUAUUAAUUUGCUUUGCUUUGCUAUAAUAGUUGUCUGUUUAUCCGCAGUUUUUUUUUUUGCAAAUUAAUAUUAAUAAAUAUUAUUUCAUCAUAUUUUUAAAAAUAUAUAAUUCCUCAAUUUCAAAAUUCAUUUAUUUCUUUUAUAAGAACAAAUUGGUAAGUCAAAAUACUCGUUGACGUAUUCAGUGUGAUCUACGUUAGCUCU